AAAAAAUUAGUUAAUUAAUAAUAACAUUAGUUUGUCAAACUAAAAUAAAUUUUUCUAAAAAUUAUUUUUUA